rnacentral:rRNA from 1 species
GUGAAAACCAGCAGCUCAACUGCUGGCUUGCAGGCGAUACGGGCAGACUUGAGUACUGCAGGGGAGACUGGAAUUCCUGGUGUAGCGGUGAAAUGCGCAGAUAUCAGGAGGAACACCGGUGGCGAAGGCGGGUCUCUGGGCAGUAACUGACGCUGAGGAACGAAAGCGUGGGUAGCGAACAGGAUUAGAUACCCUGGUAGUCCACGCCGUAAACGGUGGGCGCUAGGUGUGGGUUCCUUCCACGGAAUCCGUGCCGUANCUAACGCAUUAAGCGCCCCGCCUGGGGAGUACGGCCGCAAGGCUAAAACUCAAAGGAAUUGACGGGGGCCCGCACAAGCGGCGGAGCAUGUGGAUUAAUUCGAUGCAACGCGAAAAACCUUACCUGGGUUUGACAUAUACCGGAAAGCUGCAGAGAUGUGGCCCCCCUUGUGGUCGGUAUACAGGUGG